GAUGAACGCUAGCUACAGGCUUAACACAUGCAAGUCGAGGGGCAGCAUGAACUUAGCUUGCUAAGUUUGAUGGCGACCGGCGCACGGGUGAGUAACACGUAUCCAACCUGCCGAUGACUCGGGGAUAGCCUUUCGAAAGAAAGAUUAAUACCCGAUGGCAUAGUUCUUCCGCAUGGUAGAACUAUUAAAGAAUUUCGGUCAUCGAUGGGGAUGCGUUCCAUUAGGUUGUUGGCGGGGUAACGGCCCACCAAGCCUUCGAUGGAUAGGGGUUCUGAGAGGAAGGUCCCCCACAUUGGAACUGAGACACGGUCCAAACUCCUACGGGAGGCAGCAGUGAGGAGUAUUGGUCAAUGGACGAGAGUCUGAACCAGCCAAGUAGCGUGAAGGAUGACUGCCCUAUGGGUUGUAAACUUCUUUUAUACGGGAAUACAGUGAGGCACGUGUGCCUUUUUGUAUGUACCGUAUGAAUAAGGAUCGGCUAACUCCGUG
rnacentral:rRNA from 1 species